GAAGUGAGCAAGGGAGGUCAUUCGCAAUUCUGUCACUCCUAAAUUUGUCUGAACCUUUUUGGAAGGCAUUUGUAUUUCCUGCCAGCACCACCUCUUGGGGGUGAUGAAUUCCAAUAAGUUUCAAUCCGUUUAUUACUCACUGUGAGAGAAAUUGCUUCCUUUUAUGUCUGGAACUAAACCUGGAUCACAUUUCACAGGAUAUCCCCUAGUCACAGAGUUUUGGAAUCUGACCUGGAGGCAAAGGUAUGGAUGAGAUCACAUAGCAAGGAGAUUGCUGCUGAGAAGGAGUCAAAGCCUGGGUUUUACUUGUGGCCUUGCUGCUACACCAACUUUACUGACAUGCCAUUCUGGGAUAGUCUUUUCUCUCUGAGGCUUCAAGAGAAGAUGAGAAUACAUUCCAUCCCUACCUCUUGGAGUCAUUGUGAGGACUCAGAUGAAGUGCAGCAUCACGCAACAGAACUCAGAUGCCCUCACUGCAUCUCAAAUGCACUCAGCAGGCUGCCAUGCUGUGAGCUGCCCUAUGGAGAAGUCCACAUGGCAAGGAACUGAGGGAUACCUUCAGCCAACAGCCAAUGAGGAACUGAUGCUCCCAGAGAACAGCCUGUAGGAAACUAAUUCCUGCUAACAACCUUCAGAUGACUGCAGGUCUGGCUGGCAACUCAACUGAAGCCUGAGAGAGAUCCUGAAGCAGCGGGUGCAGCUAAGCCUCUGCUGGAUUCCCAUUAGACAGAAACUCAUCACCAGUUUUCCAUGAGAGCACCAAGCCUGUGAUUUCAGUAGAAGCUUAACUGCUCGUCUUUGAGGCACCAAAUCUGAAAAGCGAUCUUCCUGAAGACCAUGCUAAGGCAAGAACAUCCAUAUAAGGGAGAAUUCCUGAAAGUGUUCUAACACUUCAGUGGAAACUCAUCAAUGCUCUGUACCCAGAAUAAUCCCAUUUCGGAGGGUGCAUGGAUGGGGCAGAUGCAUGAUGUGCCCUGAGGAGCAGAGGAAACAUGGGCUUGGGUUGUGAAGGAUCUCAGAGAAGCUCUCCUGGACUGGCCCAAAUGUCUCAAACUUUAAUGUGCACAUAAAUCUAUUAAAAUGCAGCUUCCACUUCAACACAUCUGGAGUGAGACCAGGUAUUCUGCAUUUUUAACAAACUCUGGUGUAUGCUGGCGGAUGUCUGGAGUGCUGCUGGUCCAUGGACCGCAUGUUGAGUAGCAAGGCCCUGGAGGAAAUCUUGUCCAAGGUUGCAAAUUCAAAUGUCUUGGGGACCAGGUAGGCAAUGAAGAAUGACAGAGAUGGGAGUAAGACAAUUUGGAAUGGCAGAACCUGUGAGGAAAUGGAGGACAAGCAAGUCCAUUAAAGGUAUCCAAAAGCAUUGGAAGAAAGAGAGGAGAGAGAAAGAGAGGGAGGGAGCAGGCGGAGAAGGGAGGCUUUUUUCUGCAAUGCUGCAGAAAAGCCUUUUAGCCUAGAGGGAUGGAGCCCUGGGUUAGACUUCAUGUUGGGGGUUCUUUGGUCCUGCUCUAGCCAGGCAUCUGGGACCCUAUGUAUUGUCCUGUGUUCCGUCACUUUAACCCUGCCUGAAGUCCCUGAGUCUUGUCCUUGGGGUCCAGAGGGCUUCAGUUUUUAGUUAUUUAGACUAUUGAUACUUACAUUGGGUUUAUCAUUUGGUGAGUCCCCACUCUGUGACAUGGACUACACUCAGGUGUUCAUAGGAAUGAUUUCAUUUCAUCCUCACAACAAUAGUAGAUCGUCUUACUAUGCCCAUUUUACAGAUGAGGAAACUGAGACAUGGAAAGGAUAGGCAAUUUGUUCAAAGUCUCAUAGACAGAGCCAGGGCUGAAAUCCUGUGUCUCUAACUCUAAAUCAUGCCUGUGUCACCAUGAAAGUCUGCUUCCCCUUAAUUCUCACCCAUGAGACCGGCAAGUGCCACAAUGCUGUGUCUGUCCUCCUUGUAGUCCCAGUGUGUGGUGCAGUGCCUGGUGCUAAAUAUUUGUUAACGUUGCAUGAGUCUUAUUUCAUAUUGGUGGCUUCCUUCUCCAAGAGUGACUCCCAACAUCUUGCAAAAGGCAGGUCUUUGUGAGAAAAGAUGUUUCAUUUCCCAAGAUCAGUCCCCUCAACAUAUGCUGCUGCGUAGAGUUCCCAGAAGGGCGAGGGCUUGCAGAGCGAGGCUCCUGCCCACCACCUUCUCUCAUGUUUGCAUUUUGAGCAUAAGAUUCACAAAGUACAGUCCAACUGCUUCACAUUAUUUUUUUCUGCUCAGAAUAAUAACCCUCUCGAUUAUGUUAUUCUUUUUUAUUAUUUAUUGUGUGCCCUGGGGAAUUUUCAUUUUAACCAAGACAUUGGUUCAAUUGCAAACUGGCAAAGAAUGAUUUGUAAGGAGAUCAGUGUUGGGAGCUUAUUAAAACAUGUAUUUAGGGGAUGGUUUGGAAAUAGGAAAAGGAAAUCUCUCAGGAGAGGAGAUAUUUUCCAGAGUUGAAAAGAAAUUAUGGAAUAUGAGGGAGGGAAAAGAAGAGGACAGGGGAGGAA
rnacentral:lncRNA from 1 species